rnacentral:rRNA from 1 species
GACGAACGCUGGCGGCAUGCCUAACACAUGCAAGUCGAACGAGACCUUCGGGUCUAGUGGCGCACGGGUGCGUAACGCGUGGGAACCUGCCCUUAGGUUCGGAAUAACUCCCCGAAAGGGGUGCUAAUACCGGUUAAUGUCUUCGGACCAAAGAUUUAUCGCCUUUGGAUGGGCCCGCGUUGGUUUAGCUAGUUGGUAGGGUAAAAGCCUACCAAGGCCACGAUCCAUAGCUGGUCUGUGAGGAUGAUCAGCCACACUGGGACUGAGACACGGCCCAGACUCCUACGGGAGGCAGCAGUGGGGAAUAUUGGACAAUGGGCGAAAGCCUGAUCCAGCAAUGCCGCGUGAGUGAUGAAGGCCUUAGGGUUGUAAAGCUCUUUUACCCGGGAUGAUAAUGACAGUACCGGGAGAAUAAGCUCCGGCUAACUCCGUG